GCCCUUGUAGAUCAGUUGGUAGACCCUCCGUUUCAAGUAGCCACAUAGUCGAACUCAAGCGGCCGACGCGGGUUUGAAUCCCGCCCAGGGCA